CAAGGAGACCUGCCUGUGUCCAGCCAGGCAGCAAAUGCCCCUGUCAAAACAAUCCUGCUUGCAGAGCAUCAGCAGCUGUUGGCAGCACCCAUUCCAGGCAGCAGGAGAUGAGCUGCUCGCCUCUGAAUUUUCCACUAGGCUGGAGCCUGAGAGACUUUGCACAACAACUUCGCCCUGGAAAUUUGGCAGCUCCAAGGACAGCAGAGUGGUUCAGAUUCCUUCCCCACACAAAGGGGGGGCAAGGACAAGGAGAACCCUAGGGAGCAGGGAGCUGAAAGCAAUUCUGGAGCAUCAGUGCCACUGCCUAAUGGCCUCAGGGCCCUGACUCAGCACAGCUGCCCUGACAGCGGCACGCUGGAGAGGAAGGUGG
rnacentral:lncRNA from 1 species